rnacentral:rRNA from 1 species
AAACGUAGGGGGCAAGCGUUGUCCGGAAUUACUGGGCGUAAAGGGCGCGUAGGCGGUUAUUUAAGUCAGAGGUGAAAACUCUGGGCUCAACUCAGAGCCUGCCUCUGAAACUGGGUAACUUGAGGGCAGGAGAGGGGAGUGGAAUUCCCAGUGUAGCGGUGAUAUGCGUAGAUAUUGGGAGGAACACCAGUGGCGAAGGCGACUCCCUGGCCUGUUACUGACGCUGAGGCGCGAAAGCGUGGGGAGCGAACGGGAUUAGAUACCCCGGUAGUCCACGCCGUAAACGAUGGGUGCUAGGUGUAGGAGGUAUCGACCCCUUCUGUGCCGUAGUUAACACAAUAAGCACCCCGCCUGGGGAGUACGGCCGCAAGGCUGAA